CAUGGUCAGUCUCCUUCAUAAGGAUGUCAGUUCAGACUGGAUUCACUGCAACUUGCAAACUCAAAACACUCAGAGGAAAACUGAAGGCAGCGGUGGCUUGAGAGCAUCCACCAGAUACCACUCUCCAACCAACAGUUGUUUUUUAGAUUCAUCGACCCUGUGAGCGACAAGAGAGAAGAGCCAGAACAAUGAUGCACACAGACACACAGAGCUUGAUAUGCGAACAGUGAACUGUUAUGAAUGACCUUGUUACGGCCUUGAGCCGUGGGCACUGUUUCUCCACUCUGGUGUGUGUUCUAUCCCGCUGUGUUGCA